UGGGGAAUAUUGCACAAUGGGCGCAAGCCUGAUGCAGCCAUGCCGCGUGUAUGAAGAAGGCCUUCGGGUUGUAAAGUACUUUCAGUCGGGAGGAAGGUGGUAAGGUUAAUAACCUUAUCAAUUGACGUUACCGACAGAAGAAGCACCGGCUAACUCCGUGCCAGCAGCCGCGGUAAUACGGAGGGUGCAAGCGUUAAUCGGAAUUACUGGGCGUAAAGCGCACGCAGGCGGUUUGUUAAGUCAGAUGUGAAAUCCCCGGGCUCAACCUGGGAACUGCAUCUGAUACUGGCAAGCUUGAGUCUCGUAGAGGGGGGUAGAAUUCCAGGUGUAGCGAUGAAAUGCGUAGAGAUCUGGAGGAAUACCGGUGGCGAAGGCGGCCCCCUGGACAAAGACUGACGCUCAGGUGCGAAAGCGUGGGGAGCAAACAGG
rnacentral:rRNA from 1 species